CAACAUUACAAACUAUCAUCUCAACAGCUCCAAAGGAAAGAGGCCCCUUGUCCAUACAUGUUACUGUCUGGAUCCAUCUGAAUCCCUCACACAUGGCCUACCACGGACAACGCAGGCUGUGUGAACGACAGAAGAAGAGAAGUGCCACUAAGACAGGAGAGGGCAUAAGAAGAAGAGAAGGAGUGAGAAGAGCGGAGAUAACAGC